GAUGAACGCUGGCGGCGUGCUUAACACAUGCAAGUCGAGCGAGUGAGUUCUUCGGAACGAUCUAGCGGCGGACGGGUGAGAAACACGUGGGCAACCUGCCUCAUAGAGGGGAAUAGCCUCCCAAAAGGGAGAUUAAUACCGCAUAAAAUUAUCGAGUGGCAUCACAUGAUAAUCAAAGGAGUAAUUCGCUAUGAGAUGGGCCCGCGGCGCAUUAGCUAGUUGGUGAGGUAACGGCUCACCAAGGCGACGAUGCGUAGCCGACCUGAGAGGGUGAUCGGCCACAUUGGGACUGAGACACGGCCCAGACUCCUACGGGAGGCAGCAGUGGGGAAUAUUGCACAAUGGGGGAAACCCUGAUGCAGCAACGCCGCGUGAGUGAUGAAGGUCUUCGGAUUGUAAAGCUCUGUCUUUGGGGACGAUAAUGACGGUACCCAAGGAGGAAGCCACGGCUAACUACGUGCCAGCCGCCGCCGUAA
rnacentral:rRNA from 1 species